rnacentral:rRNA from 1 species
GAUGAACGCUGGCGGCGUGCCUAAUACAUGCAAGUCGAGCGAACAGAUGAGGAGCUUGCUCCUCUGACGUUAGCGGCGGACGGGUGAGUAACACGUGGAUAACCUACCUAUAAGACUGGGAUAACUUCGGGAAACCGGAGCUAAUACCGGAUAAUAUAUUGAACCGCAUGGUUCAAUAGUGAAAGACGGUUUUGCUGUCACUUAUAGAUGGAUCCGCGCCGCAUUAGCUAGUUGGUAAGGUAACGGCUUACCAAGGCAACGAUGCGUAGCCGACCUGAGAGGGUGGUCGGCCACACUGGAACUGAGACACGGUCCAGACUCCUACGGGAGGCAGCAGUAGGGAAUCUUCCGCAAUGGGCGAAAGCCUGACGGAGCAACGCCGCGUGAGUGAUGAAGGUCUUCGGAUCGUAAAACUCUGUUAUUGGGGAAGAACAAAUGUGUAAGUAACUAUGCACGUCUUGACGGUACCUAAUCAGAAAGCCACGGCUAACUACGUG